rnacentral:rRNA from 1 species
GACGAACCGUGCGAACGUUGUUCGGAAUCACUGGGCUUAAAGGGCGCGUAGGCGGCUAGCGAGGUCGGGGGUGAAAUCCCACGGCUUAACCGUGGAAGUGCCUUCGAUACCGGCGGGCUCGAGGAAGGUAGGGGUGCGCGGAACUUCUGGUGGAGCGGUGAAAUGCGUUGAUAUCAGAAGGAACGCCGGCGGCGAAAGCGGCGCACUGGAUCUUUUCUGACGCUGAGGCGCGAAAGCCAGGGGAGCAAACGGG